AACGAACGCUGGCGGCAGGCCUAACACAUGCAAGUCGAACGCCGUAGCAAUACAGAGUGGCAGACGGGUGAGUAACACGUGGGAACAUGCCCUUUGGUUUGGAAUAACUCAGGGAAACUUGAGCUAAUACCGGAUACGCCCGAGAGGGGAAAGAUUUAUCGCCGAAGGAUUGGCCCGCGUCCGAUUAGCUAGUUGGUGAGGUAAUGGCUCACCAAGGCGACGAUCGGUAGCUGGUCUGAGAGGAUGAUCAGCCACACUGGGACUGAGACACGGCCCAGACUCCUACGGGAGCCAGCAGUGGGGAAGAUUGGACAAUGGGCGCAAGCCUGAUCCAGCCAGGCCGCGUGAGUGAUGAAGGCCCUAGGGUUGAAAAGCUCUUUCGCCAGGGACGAUAAUGACGGUACCUGGAUAAGAAGCCACGGCUAACUUCGUGCCAGCCGCCGCCGUAACAC
rnacentral:rRNA from 1 species